rnacentral:rRNA from 1 species
UGGGGAAUUUUGGACAAUGGGCGAAAGCCUGAUCCAGCAAUGCCGCGUGUGUGAAGAAGGCCUUCGGGUUGUAAAGCACUUUUGUCCGGAAAGAAAUCCUUGGCUCUAAUACAGUCGGGGGAUGACGGUACCGGAAGAAUAAGCACCGGCUAACUACGUGCCAGCAGCCGCGGUAAUACGUAGGGUGCAAGCGUUAAUCGGAAUUACUGGGCGUAAAGCGUGCGCAGGCGGUUUGCUAAGACCGAUGUGAAAUCCCCGGGCUCAACCUGGGAACUGCAUUGGUGACUGGCAGGCUAGAGUAUGGCAGAGGGGGGUAGAAUUCCACGCGUAGCAGUGAAAUGCGUAGAGAUGUGGAGGAAUACCGAUGGCGAAGGCAGCCCCCCUGGGCCAAAUACUGACGCUCAUGCACGAAAGCGUGGGGAGCAAACAGGAUUAGAUACCCUGGUAGUCCACGCCCUAAACGAUGUCAACUAGUUGUUGGGGAUUCAUUUCCUUAGUAACGUAGCUAACGCGUGAAGUUGACCGCCUGGGGGAGUACGGUCGCAAGAUUAAAACUUAAAGGAAUUGACGGGGUCAUAGCUGUUUCCU